rnacentral:rRNA from 1 species
UGGCUCAGGAUGAACGCUGGCGGCGUGCCUAACACAUGCAAGUCGAGCGAUUCUCUUCGGAGAAGAGCGGCGGACGGGUGAGUAACGCGUGGGUAACUGCCCUGUACACACGGAUAACAUACCGAAAAGGUAUGCUAAUACGGGAUAAUGUAUUUUUGUCGCAUGGCAAAAGUAUCAAAGCUCCGGCGGUACAGGAUGGACCCGCGUCUGAUUAGCUAGUUGGAGAGGUAAUGGCUCACCAAGGCAACGAUCAGUAGCCGACCUGAGAGGGUGAUCGGCCACAUUGGAACUGAGACACGGUCCAAACUCCUACGGGAGGCAGCAGUGGGGAAUAUUGCACAAUGGGCGAAAGCCUGAUGCAGCAACGCCGCGUGAGCGAUGAAGGCCUUCGGGUCGUAAAGCUCUGUCCUCAAGGAAGAUAAUGACGGUACUUGAGGAGGAAGCCCCGGCUAACUACGUGCCAGCAGCCGCGGUAAUACGUAGGGGGCUAGCGUUAUCCGGAAUUACUGGGCGUAAAGGGUGCGUAGGUGGUUUCUUAAGUCAGAGGUGAAAGGCUACGGCUCAACCGUAGUAAGCCUUUGAAACUGAGAAACUUGAGUGCAGGAGAGGAGAGUAGAAUUCCUAGUGUAGCGGUGAAAUGCGUAGAUAUUAGGAGGAAUACCAGUUGCGAAGGCGGCUCUCUGGACUGUAACUGACACUGAGGCACGAAAGCGUGGGGAGCAAACAGGAUUAGAUACCCUGGUAGUCCACGCCGUAAACGAUGAGUGCUAGGUGUUAGGGGUUUCGAUACCCUUGGUGCCGAAGUUAACACAUUAAGCACUCCGCCUGGGGAGUACGGUCGCAAGACUGAAACUCAAAGGAAUUGACGG